AUUGAACGCUGGCGGCAUGCCUUACACAUGCAGGUCGAACGGUAACGCGGGGGCAACCCUGGCGACGAGUGGCGAACGGGUGAGUAAUACAUCGGAACGUGUCCUGUUGUGGGGGAUAACCCAUCGAAAGGUGAGCUAAUACCGCAUGAUCUGGAGACAGCAAAGCAGGGGACCGGUAACGGCCUUGCGCGAUUGGAGCGGCCGAUGUCCGAUUAGCUAGUUGGUGGGGUAAAGGCCCACCAAGGCAACGAUCGGUAGCUGGUCUGAGAGGAUGAUCAGCCACACUGGGACUGAGACACGGCCCAGACUCCUACGGGAGGCAGCAGUGGGGAAUUUUGGACAAUGGGGGCAACCCUGAUCCAGCCAUGCCGCGUGAGUGAAGAAGG
rnacentral:rRNA from 1 species